rnacentral:rRNA from 1 species
UACGAAGGGGGGCUAGCGUUGCUCGGAAUCACUGGGCGUAAAGCGCACGUAGGCGGGACUCUUAAGUCGGUGGGUGAAAUCCUGGAGCUCAACUCCAGAACUGCCCUUCGAUACUGAGAGUCUUGAGUCCCGGGAGAGGGUGAGUUGGGAAACUGCGAGUGUAGAGGGUGAAAUUUCGUUAGAUAUUUCGCAAAGAAACACCCA